GAUGAACGCUGGCGGCGUGCCUAAUACAUGCAAGUCGAGCGAACAGACGAGGAGCUUGCUCCUUUGACGUUAGCGGCGGGCGGGUGUGUAACACGUGUAUAACCCACCUAUAAUUCGGGUAUAACUUCGGGAAACCGGCGCUAAUACCGGAGAAUAUCUUGAACCACAUGGUUCAAUGGUGAAAGACGGUUUUGCUGGCUCUUAUAGAUGGAUCCGCGCCGCAUUAGCUAGUUGGUAAGUUAACGGCUUACCAAGGCAACGAUGCGUAGCCGAGGUGAGAGGGUGAUCGGCCACACUGGAGGGUAGACACGGUCCAGACGCCUACGGGAGGCAGCAGUAGGGAAUCUUACGCAAUGGGCGAAAGCCUGACGGAACAACGCCACGUGAGUGAUGAAGGUCUUCGGAUCGUAAAGCUCUGUUAUUGGGGAAGAACAGAUGUGUAAGUAACUAUGCACGUCUUGACGGUAACUAAUAAAAAAGCACCGGCUAACUACGUG
rnacentral:rRNA from 1 species